AUCCCGCAGCGGCCGGAGGAAGAUAGAGGCUGUGACUGAGGAAUGAUGCAAGCUGUGCGUGAACAUGUUGAACGCUAACAAAAAAAGUUUUGAAUAUCAGCUGACCUUCAAAUCCUUUUGGGAAUGUGCUGCCAAAAAGUUCAACAUCCCAACCUUGGACUUGAAAGUGUUU